GCGUGAUUUUCUUAAAACAUAACAAUAUAUUUUUGGUAUCUCGGGCAUACUAUAGAGCAUAACAUAAUUUUGAAUGUCAUAAAAGUUGUUUAAUUCAAUUUUUUAUUUUUUGAACAUAAUAUUGAAAAAUACCCUCACUGAUUCGAAUUCCAUAAAUUUGAAUUCAAUGAACAUUAACUUAGGGAAACGGGAAUGGUUCAAGAUGUCUACACCAGCUUUACGAAAACCUAAAUUUUUAAAAGGAUCGGAUAAAAAGAAUGUUGUUGAUCAACAGUUUAUAAUAUUAACUUUAAAGAACGGAAUGAAAUUAGUGGUAUCCUCAGACAGUUUCCAUGGAAUUCUCAUGAUAGGAAAAACAUAUCGGUGCGUGUUAUGUGACGUGGAAAUAGAGCAUGCAUUCAAAGAACAUCAUAAGAGUUUAGUUGAACACAAAAAGUUAUUAAACAAAUUUCCAUAUGUUACAGAAUUUUCUGAAAAUUUAAUAAGACAGAUAAUGGUUUUAUUAAGAUACAUAUCACCAAGUUGAUAUUAGUGACCCAUCUCGGCACCGCGCGGAUAAACAAAAUAAAUUGUUAUUGCACAAUUUGUAAUGUAACCAUGGGAUCUGUAUCAGUAAUGCUUCAUAUUAGGACAGACGAACAUAUCCACGAACUUAACAGAGCCAUUUUAAGAGCUGAC